AGCAGGCUGGGCAUGGCUGCCCUUUGUUCCACCUUCUGCAUCAACCCACCCACCAAAGGCACCUAUUGCCACAUCUGCUGCCAGUGCCAAGAACGGUCACUUUUCUCCCAGUGUGCAGUGCUUAGUAAAGAACAUGGCACACAGAAGGCAGUGAAUAAAUGUUGAAUGAAUGAAUGAAAGGUUAAUUACCUGGGAUUGCUCUUCCUGGACUAAUGAAUUUAUAUGGACCAGGUCUUAAGAGUUAGCACUUGACUAGUUCUGCUGAUCUCAUGUCAUCCUGUUCUCCAGUACUUCCCCAGUCCCAGAUGAGCCCUUUUCCCAAAAGACAAUGUAGAUAUCUAGGGUGUUAUUUUUUCUUCUUCUGAUGAACUAGAGAGAAGAUUGGAGAAUAGGUACAUUUAGGAGGAUGGGACCUAUAGUACUUAAAAAAAAAUACUUUUGCUGGCGAGAAAACAGAGUAUAAAUAUAUAACAAUUGUUCAACAAUAUUUGUCAAAUAAAAAUUUCUAUUUGAUGCUGGA